rnacentral:lncRNA from 1 species
CAUCACUGCAUGUGAUUUUAUAAUAGCAACAACUCAAGAACUGAGAAAUUAGGCAAGAAGCAGCAAUCCCAUAACAGGGUAUUGGCAGACAACAAAGCAGCAAGUCAAAAGCAAUACGAAAACUGAGUUACUCCUCAAUUCGAUAAAGUCCAACCAGCCAGUGGGUCUACGGUUUAAAGCUUGGAGCCCAUUCCAUGUCUCCACAAACUGAUAUGAAGACUACACAGCGUGGCAUACAAACACUGAAUUAUUUCUUAGAUUCUUCUUAUACACUCACACACACUCUAGUCUUAGCUUGAAAAGACAAAGAAAAAUGAUAAUAUAACUACAGAUUAAUUGAACAAACUGAAGCAUGAACUUUGAAGAUGGGCUGUCAUAUCUCGUGUAGAUCCCCCAUUGCCAUCCCUACACACGAUAUGGGUUAAAACUCAGAAGACCCUUGUUGUCUGCUGUGUCUAUGCCAAGAAGAAAUUAAAAAAAAAAAAAAAAGAUUGAAAUCUUGGGUGUUGAAGGGGACGAGGGAAAGGGACAGAGGGGCAUCAUGAUAUUGAGUGCCUUUGUCUGAAGCGUUUGGCAUCAGUCACCUGGAAGAAUGGAGAGGUGUUCGGGGGAGAUACCAGCCAGAUACGAUAGUAGUGUGUCUUUGACUGUGGCUUAAUAAAAUGAGUAGUUAGGCAAAAGACAAUGGGCAGCUACGAAUGGAGAGGAAGAUUAUUAAUAAAUAUAAUAUAAAUAGAAAGACAGAUAGGACUAGUGCUACAGAGAAUGAUUGCUUUCGAGUUGUCUGAAACUUUGAUUAAGCUCAAAGAAAU